AGUGAACGCUGGCGGUAGGCCUAACACAUGCAAGUCGAACGGCAGCACAGGAGAGCUUGCUCUCUGGGUGGCGAGUGGCGGACGGGUGAGGAAUACAUCGGAAUCUACUCUGUCGUGGGGGAUAACGUAGGGAAACUUACGCUAAUACCGCAUACGACCUACGGGUGAAAGCAGGGGAUCUUCGGACCUUGCGCGAUUGAAUGAGCCGAUGUCGGAUUAGCUAGUUGGCGGGGUAAAGGCCCACCAAGGCGACGAUCCGUAGCUGGUCUGAGAGGAUGAGCAGCCACACUGUAACUGCGACACGGUCCAGACUCCUACGGGAGGCAGCAGUGGGGAAUAUUGGACAAUGGGCGCAAGCCUGAUCCAGCCAUACCGCGUGGGUGAAGAAGGCCUUCGGGUUGUAAAUCCCUUUUGUUGGGAAAGAAAUCCAGCUGGCUAAUACCCGGUUGGGAUGACGGUACCCAAAGAAUAAGCACCGGCUAACUUCGUGCCAGCCGCCGCCGUAA
rnacentral:rRNA from 1 species